GUUUUACUAAGACCUUCCAAAGAGGAACCAGGAGAAGCUUCUGCAGAAACUGGCACAGAUCUGAUCCAAGGUGUCAUGAUGCAGGGUUGGUGAGGACCCAAAGGCAGGAUGCAUUCACAGACUGGUGGUUUCCUCUCGUUUCCAUCUUUCACGCCUGGGGUAUGGCCAGACUGGCAGUGCGGUAGUGAGCAUUUGUCAGCACAGAUUGACUUUUUUGCCCCAUGAGGUGCCGAUAUGCUGCACCUGACAGACCGCUGGCUCUGCAACGUUUGCCUGCCUUGUUAAGUCUGACACUCACAAGAAGUGACUGGGUGAGCGCACAAAGGAAAAAAAUCCACGGCCACAGCAAAUAUUUGAUGAUGUGAUUUUCAAUGGAUUGGAGAUGGAAGCUGAUGUUGACAUUUGUAUAACAUCUGCACAGUCUGAUCAUCAGUCUGUUGCUCUGCCUCUCUUGGCUCCCCCCAUGUUUGCCCAGUGAUUGAGCUUUACAAUGUUCACACUGGAAAAAGAAAGAAAGACUUACUUUCUUUAUUUGUAAAAGCACUAACUUUGAAACAUAGAUCAUUGCAAUGAUCAGGGUGUAGAUGUAAUCACAGGGAGAAACAGCAAAUAUGAAACAAUCCAGAUGUUUGAGAAAGGAACUGAAAUAGUGAAACACAGGCGUUGAAUGCUUAAUUACUCCUUGCAGUAAGCUGCACAGUCACCCUUCAAUCUAUCUCUGACUUGGGUAAGUAGCCUACAUGCAGAAAAAAAAGAAAGGAAAAACAUUAAAACUUAGUCCAGUGUAGGUUUUUUCUUCAGCCUGGACAGUUCCAGUGGGACCUUGAGUACACAGUAAUGACUUUAAUGAAGAGUACUUGGUCUUAAUUGAGAUUAGAUUUCUGUUUUAUCUAGCUGCCACAUCAAGGAUCCUUUAGUUCCAGUCUGAAUGGCGACUCAUUGUGGUCCAUUAUGUGGUUGAUCAACCAUGUUAAUUUAAACUGCAUGCCAUCAGUUAGCUGGUGUAAUUCUCACAGACUACAGAGCAGAGUUCCUUUGGUAUUAAUGUUUCAGAGGAUGGUGUGGUUAUUUUUCCUCUCAGAUUUACAGGAUAAUAAAAGCUAUGACAUGUUUGGAUUUCAGCAAGUUGAUCUGUGUAUAUUUGUGCCUUUUAAAUCUCAUAGCCGGCUGUGUGGUCGUAGUGAUUGUAAGAAUUCUUAAGUCUUUCAGAACCUGUUCAUGUUUCACAUGUUCACAUGGCCCUGUUCUCA